GGCAUUAUAGCCUAGUGGUAUAUUGGUGGUGGGAUAAUGCGUAUGACCAAUUGGUCAUGGGUUCGAUUCCCACAAAGGGGG
rnacentral:tRNA from 1 species